UCAGUUGACAUUUGCGAUGAAAGCUACAGCUCAGCUGAUACAAUGCCCAUAUCCAACCCCCUUCUUCUAUCUCUUUCUCUCCAAUAGAAGCAGUGAAAGCAAAAAUCUCCAUUGCCCAGCCUCCCUUGAUGUUUGAGUGGCCAUGUGCCGGUGCUUGCCAGUGAGAUGGAAGUGGAGUGGUGCUGGCCCCCUCCAUCCUCUUCCUCUUUCUUCCAGCCUAGAAAACAGAUGUAAUGGCAUCAGAAGCACAGAAGCUAUUCUUCAGCCAUGAGAUGCAGGGAAACGCCUGAAGAGAGGCUCCGCUAGCUGAAAACUAAUCGCAGUUCUCAGGACAGAGUGUGUAAAAUAAACAAUUGGCAAUCAUGGAACUCUCAUGGAAAUAAGGUGCAGAGAGUCCGUGGCCUGCUCCCAG